CUUGGGAUUGGUGGCUGGAGCCCAGUUCCUGGGGAGGCUGAGGCAGGAGAGUUGCAUGAGCCCAGAGUUCUGGGCUGCUAUGCACUGUGUUGAUUGGAUGACCGCACGAAGUUCGGCAUCAAUAUGGAGAACUCCUGGGAGUAGGGGACUACUAGGUUGCCUAAAAGGAGGGAUGAACCGGCCCAGGUCAGAAAUGGUGCAAAUCAAAACUAUCGUGCUGAUCAGUAGAGGGAUCAUGUCUUUGAAUAGACACUACAUUCCAGCCUAGGCAACAUGGCAAAACCCAACGCUUUU
rnacentral:SRP_RNA from 1 species